GAACACGCUAUUAACGAAAAAGAGCCACAGGGCAUAAAAAAAAGCCAAAGUGAAAAAAAAAUAUAUAUAUACAUAUUAAUAUAAAAAAAAAAAAGUUCGCAAUUUCUCACGAGGCGUCUUGGCAAGCGGCAGCAACAUCAACGGAGGAUAACGGCAGCAGGAUCACCGGCGCAGCACAGCAAAACACCGUCGCGGCACAGAACAAAAGGCAAAACAAUUGCGGUACAGUUGGACAUAGUCACAAGUGGUACCAGAGAAACCCGCUAACCAGGAUGUGCCGAUUCCAUAGUCAUAUGAACCUCCUCCUCUCCUGCCAGGGAUCCCGAGUUAGGCCUCCUGAGAACAAGCUUUAA